GCAGCGACCUCAAAUUUAAAUCAUUAAAUUUGUCCAUUUUUCGAACCUCACCACAGUUCUGACCAUGCGCGCUUACGCAAGCAUAAAUAAUUUUACCCGUCGACUCGCGUUGCGCGACAAAUAAUUAAGCUUAUGUACAGGUGUGGAUCAUGAGUCAUCCUCACCUGAAAAGCCCUUUAUUAAAUUUCGCCAAUUGUUAGGCAAUCAAAAAAAUGGUUAAGCUUUCAAUUAUGAAUGUGCGAUGUUUUUCCACAGGGGAAAUUGAGGGUGUGGCUUAACCAAAUUCAUUGGCAUGUUCGUUCAAUGGAGAAUUCGACCUUCUCAUUAUUGACCAACAUUUUUGAGAAUGUUUUAGGAACAUAAUUUUGAUAUUCCAAUAACAUAAUUUAAAGUUUCACGACAAUGGUUCGAACCCAUGACUUCCGAUUUUGAAGUGUACUCACUACACCAUACGGAAAGUCAUGAAAAAUUGCAGAGGUCUGCAUAAUUUAAUUCAUGAGGUUCAUCGAUGCUUCUCAUCGAAACGGACCACUUUUAGUAGAACAAAAUUUAGUAGAGUUUUCGGGGACUGACUAUAAAAACCCCAAAAUUCUUGAGGAGGGCAAUUAGUUCGAAUUAGUUCCAGUCAGUUCCAGCCAGUUCAAGCCCAGUCCAGUUCCAGAUCCUGAAGAAGCCCCAGACCAGCCGGACCCGCCAGCAGCCACCAGUAGCAGAGGCCCCAGUCCAGCCGGACUUAGCGGUGGAGGCCGCAGUCCGCCGGGACUUAGCCGCUGUGAAGAGUCCGCCGGGACUUAGCCGCUGUGAAGAGUCCGCCGGGACUUAGCCGCUGUGAAGAGUCCGCCGAGACUUAGCCGCCGUGAAGAGUCCACCCGGGACUUAGGAGUUCGGGUCUGGCAUGGCUCGGCGAAGAGGUCUGGAGGACAAGUCUGGCUUCAACGUAGAGAAUUGGCUCGACGAAGGUCUUAAUGAAAUUAGCAACAAAUAGUUGAGUGAUGUGAUCGUGCGCGUAAAAGUUGAGAGUGUUACCGCAAAAAUGUAAUCUUUAAAAAGUGUAAUAUACAAAUAAGUGAAGUUUA